UCAUCAUAGCGGAUGAACACUCCAAAGAGGAUGACCAUAGCAAUCUGCCACACGAAGCAGACCACGGGCAGACUAACCCGCACAUUGGUGUUCUUCCGGACAUUGCACAUGGCCUCGCAGCAGUUCCCCAUGGCGACACGACCUGACGACCCUCAGCUCGCUGUGCUUCUGCUGCAGCAUCACAGCAGGUGGGGCUGAUGGAGAGGAUGGAUGAGGGGACACCACGUUACCGCACGGCAGAGUCAGUAUCGCCACAAGGUGCUUUUUGAGACGUCCCCAUUUCACCCCCCAAAAAGUUGAGUUCCUUCGUCCAUUGAACUUCAUAUUCACUGUAGCUUUCUCAGGGAGACCGAGGGGUGCAAUUCCUCAAGACCAUACCCACAGUGAACCAACCUGGUGGCCUAUUCAACUGAAUCUGGGACCUUAGUCAGGGUAGAGGCAAUUAUGAACAGUGCCAAAUAAUAGUCAAUUUUCACGCUAAACCUUCAGAUACCUACUUCUAGGAUGAACAUACAUUUUACCAGAACUUUUCUGUGUUGUAAAUCAAGUCUUAAAAUGCACAUUGAUCAUUUAACCAUGCAAAAACAGUUUGUACAUGCACCACACACAACUCUCAGUUAUGUUUAGACUAACACAACAAUGUUAUAUAUCACUGAAGUAUAAAUUGAAGAAGAAAAGGGAGUGCCACUGCAGGCAUGAAAACUAUUUGCGCUAAUAGAUGUGGAAAUGAUACAUAGUCGCCUUCAAAUACUUCCCCUGGCCUGGCGUCUAUGCACAUGUGACAGUGGGGCUGUAUGGAGGUUUGAGAUGUUAUCUUGCAUUUUACAUUCCAACCUUGUUGUCCAUCACAUGCCUUGUUACGCUCUGCAUUAGCUGGGGAAUGAUGCCUCAAGAGAUAUUAGCAGCGCCUGUGAGUUAGCGUGGAAGUCAGACACACACCAGUGAAAUUGAGCAAUUAUGAAAACAAAGCUUGUCCCUUCCUUUUUCUGCACUUGAGUGUUGAGUGUUGCCACAAUGUAUGAUGAGGAUCGACAUCAUGUGGCUUUAGUCCUGUUUGUAAAAAAAAAAAAUUGUCAUGCAGGCUACGGUGGAACCUCUACAGCAGGGGUUCUCAAACCUUUUACACCAAGUAAAGCCUAAAAAAAUACUUGGCUCUCCACAUACCACCAUAAUGACCAACAUUAAAAUACAGUAGCAUACAGUCUUAAAAAUAAUAAUAAUAAUAAUUUUUUAAAAAGUUAAUAACUUUUUUCAUGCAAAGGCUUAGCUAGACUUGCUUAUAUCCAGCGUUGGAAAGAUUACUUUGGAAAUCUAGUUGGUUACAAUUACAAUUUACUAUUUCAAUUAUUUUCUCAAAGUAAUACAACCAUUUUUACAUUUUGAUUACCUUUCUUAAUUUUUAAUGAAUGCAUCAACAGGACCCUAGGAUGUUUCCUAUCAAAUCAUAGAUCAUCAUUUUGGAAUUAAUCACAUAUUUGUUCUUCAGUUUGUUCUUAAGCCUCAAACAGAAGAUUGAAGUUUUUUUUCACUUUUUAUGCACAUCGCUGUCCUGGCUGCUCAGUACAAUAUGGCCAAAGCGUCUAUAAGUGGACAUGAAUAAUACAAUACAAAGAACAGAAUUUACACUUGACUGAGCUAUGUUUAGUCAUUCUUUUUUAGUCCCUUUGUUUGUCACAGUGUCAUGCAUCAUCAACAUGUUAAGUAUGACUAGACAAUGUGUUAUUCAAAUCCAUCCAUCCAUUUUCCAUUGUGCUUGUCUUAAUUACGGCUGUGGGCAGACACAUGCACACAUAGACCCCAAGUGGUGCUCAUGCAACUGUCCUUUUCCCUGCCUGAAAAAAGUGGCCUUUUUGUUGCAGCCCCUUUUUUUUCAUUCAUUAAUAUUUAUUGAAUAAUUUUUUUUUUUUAUAGUGAAAACAAUACCUUCACUGUCAUUAGUUCCAACCAAAAUGUUUUCAAAUUGGAGGGUUUUUAUUCCUUGGAGAAUUAUUCGUAUGUUCACAACUUAAUCUAUUUCGGGUAAAUCUGAGGCGCUUUAAAUGGUGACAGGUGUGUGCUAACCCCCUCAUUUAAAAUGGGUUUGAAUGUGUUCGCUUCUGAACACAGCCACAUCCCCAUUCACUGAAUAAGAGGGUGUGUGUACUUGUGCAACCACGUCAUCUCACUUGUUUAUUUUUCUUCACCUCAAAAAGUUUUCAAUUGAGCUGUACAAGUUAUAUGUACAGUAGGUUAAUUAAUAGUGGGGAAAAAAAGUUUUUAAAAUGAGUUUUCUCUUUUUUGUAUAUUACAAACACCUGACAUUUGUUAUUACGUAGUCACCUCCUUUGUUAAAAUGGUAUUAUUGACUGUGAUGAUUGUGUUAAAAGAAAUAAAUGGAGAAGUAAAAAAAAAAAAACCUACAGAUUUUUCCUAAUUGUAUGAAUAAUUUUGGCCAUGGGUGCCCUUGGGUGAGCACCUGCCCCCCAAAAUGUCUAUGCAUGUGCCAUAUGCUUGACCGUGGGUGAGCUGGAAUAAUGUUUGGCUGAGAAGCCGCGGUGUACACCCUAAAACUCGUCAGUGGCCGAUCACAGCGCACAUGUAGGCGAACAACCAUUCACACUCACAUGCACACCUAGGGACAAUUUAAAGUUUUGAAUUCACCUCACGUGCAGGUUUUUGGAAUGUGGGAGGAAACCAGAGUACCCGCGUAAAACCACAACCCUCAGAACGAUGCUAACCACUUGGCAACUAUGUUGCCCUAAUGUUGUCACGUUUUAUUUUAAUAACAGUAAACUUGUUUUUACACAAUAAAAUACACAUAAAAACACUUGCCUCAUUGCCUGUACAGUUAAUAAAUGUUUAUGAUGGCAAAAGGUUGACCCUGGAAUAGAUUUCAUAUGGGGAAAAUGAUUCUAAAUAAAAAUUAUUUUUAAAAAAUUCUCAUAUGAAUAUAAAUGAGUUGCCAUUAUUUCUAAUCUUAUGUGACACCUGAAAUGUUCCCAUCAUUCUGAUAUCUAAAAAGUGUUGCAUCCCAGGCCAAAAGGCAAAUGAUCUAGUAGUUCAUUAGAUGAUUGUUUGGCAUAAGAUUAAGGCACUUAGGCCCUCGAGUUGUUAUGAGCGGGCUGACGAGAGUGACUAAGCUACCAGAAAUUUGAACGGGAACAUAGCAGCCAGAUGCCAGAGCGAUAUUAAAGCGUCAGGCAGAUGUCUGCUGCCGGCUGACAGCGAAGGGCAGAGCUCGCCCAGGACGAUGUAAUACGGCGAUAACCUUAGUCAGGCUCAGAAUAGGAGAACUUCGUUGUGUCACAUGGUCUAUCACGCACACACACAUGCACACACCCUCAUGUUUGUCAAGAGCAAACACAGGUGAGCCUCCUGCCUUUAUUGUUUCUCUGUGCUAAACUAUUAGGAACAUGCCACUGUGGCAUGGCUAAAUAAAAAUGUAAAGAAAAUAAAUUGUUCAGGCCAGCAAACACUUUUGAAAUAAUCCCAAAUUAUUCAUAUUUCUCUUUUGUUUAUAAUUUAACAUACUAAUGUUUCCACCUCAGAUUCUACAAAUAACACAUGUCAAGGAAAAGAAUGUAAACAUUUCAUUUUUAAAAAUGAGAUUGUCAUGGUGAAUUGUGCAGAAAUAUUUGGACAAUGACAACAACUUUGUGUAUAUAUAUAUAUAUACAUAUAUAUAUAAGCUCCUACUAAGUAAAAAAUUGUGGGUACUAGACUGGCCUGCCUGCAGUCCAGACCUGUCUCCUAUUGAAAAUGUGUGCCGCAUUAUGAAGCGUAAAAUACGACCACGGAGACCCUGGACUUCAAGCAUGGGAAGAAUUCCACCUACAAAGCUUCAACAAUUAGUGUCCUCAGUUCCCAAACAUUUAUUGAAUGUUGUUAAAAGAAAAGGUGAUGUAACACAUUGGUAAACAUGACCCU